UAAGAUUUUAGAUUCUAGUGAAAAGCCUUAAGUCUUCCGUUGUAAACAAGACUUAAUAACUUUUAGCUCCUGAGAGUACAAGUAGGCUAUAUGGUUAGCACAUAUGUUGGGGCAAAAUUCUGUAUAAAGUAACUGUCUACUACAAAUUUUUUCAUUUUUGUCUCCCUUUGAAAACUGAUCAUCAAAUCCCUAGUGGAUAGAAUUUUUCAUCUCUUUCAUUUUCAUUUGAUAUUUUAUGUAUCA